rnacentral:rRNA from 1 species
GAUCAUGGCUCAGGAUGAACGCUGGCGGCGUGCUUAACACAUGCAAGUCGAACGAAGCACCUUGAUUUGAUUCUUCGGAUGAAGACCUUGGUGACUGAGUGGCGGACGGGUGAGUAACGCGUGGGUAACCUGCCGUCAUACAGGGGGAUAACAGUUAGAAAUGACUGCUAAUACCGCAUAAGACCACAGUACCGCAUGGUACAGGGGUAAAAACUCCGGUGGUAUGAGAUGGACCCGCGU